rnacentral:rRNA from 1 species
UACGUAGGUGGCGAGCGUUAUCCGGAAUUAUUGGGCGUAAAGAGCGCGCAGGUGGUUGAUUAAGUCUGAUGUGAAAGCCCACGGCUUAACCGUGGAGGGUCAUUGGAAACUGGUCGACUUGAGUGCAGAAGAGGGAAGUGGAAUUCCAUGUGUAACGGUGAAAUGCGUAGAGAUAUGGAGGAACACCAGUGGCGAAGGCGGCUUCCUGGUCUGUAACUGACACUGAGGCGCGAAAGCGUGGGGAGCAAACAGGG